rnacentral:rRNA from 1 species
GAUGAACGCUGGCGGCGUGCCUAAUACAUGCAAGUCGAGCGAACGGGCGAGAAGCUUGCUUCUCUGAUGUUAGCGGCGGACGGGUGAGUAACACGUGGAUAACCUACCUAUAAGACUGGGAUAACUUCGGGAAACCGUAGCUAAUACCGGAUAAUAUUUUGAACCGCAUGGUUCAAAAGUGAAAGACGGUCUUGCUGUCCCUUAUAGAUGGAUCCGCGCUGCAUUAGCUGGUUGGUAAGGUAACGGCUUACCAAGGCAACGAUGCAUAGCCGACCUGAGAGGGUGAUCGGCCACACUGGAACUGGGACACGGUCCAGACUCCUACGGGAGGCAGCAGUAGGGAAUCUUCGGCAAUGGGCGAAAGCCUGACGGAGCAACGCCGCGUGAGUGAUGAAGGUCUUCGGAUCGUAAAACUCGGUUAUUAGGGAAGAACAUAGGUGUAAGUAACUGUGCACAUCUUGACGGUACCUAAUCAGAAAGCCACGGCUAACUACGUG